ensembl:miRNA gmo-mir-11278 gmo-mir-11278
GGGGAGAACCUGACUGGACCUCCAUACACAUCCGUGUGAGGUCCCAUCUUCUUGUCCUU